GAAUGUAAAUCCAAUCUGGCUGUGACGCCAACUAUCUCAAGGAUUGCCAGGAUUAAUCUGGCUGCUCUGGUGGGCUAAGUGUCCAAAGUGUCCAUUCUCAUGACUCUGUGCAGGUGCAUUUUUCAGAAAGAAAAUGGGUUAUUCAAUCAAGUGUGUAACGAUGGUCCUUUCCUCCUAGAGCCUCCAAACAAACUGUUUCAGAUCAUUUAUAUGAGACCAUAUGUUCGUCAAGCCUCUAAGGGACCAUGUGAAUGGUCCCUGAACA
rfam:Pteropus alecto contig36454, whole genome shotgun sequence.